AUGCUGGUAGCUGUGUAAUUAGGCAAGUUCUUCUCUGCUAUUUUAAGAAAAAUAGUUCAUAGAAAAGUAGGGCAAACGUCGAGCUUUCCUCUGGGCUCCAAUGUAAAAGAAGUGGAUAGCGGCUGACUAGUGUACAUAUUAUGUAUGCAGUCUUUGAAGGAAUCCCCCUUGUUUUUAGCUGUUCUUCCAUUGCUCCUGGAGACUCUGAGCUCAGAGAUUUUCUAGGCUCUGAUGGGCAGAGUGGCUCGUUUCCUCCCUGAAGUUUCCUUCAUGCCACAUUCUGGAUUACAACCUCCUCCAAAGAGUGUCAUCUGUCAAUAUAAUGUCAUCUCUUGAUUUCUCUGUUUUCUUUUCUUCACUAUAAUAGGUAAUUCUAUGUUUUAGCAGAGCUAAAUACAUCGCCGUCGUCUUCAA
rnacentral:lncRNA from 1 species